rnacentral:rRNA from 1 species
UACGGAGGGUGCAAACGUUGCUCGGAAUCAUUGGGCGUAAAGCGCACGUAGGCGGCGAAGCAAGUCGGGUGUGAAAGCCCUGGGCUCAACCCAGGAAGUGCAUUCGAAACUAUUUCGCUUGAAUCUCGGAGGGGGUCAGAGAAUUCCCGGUGUAGAGGUGAAAUUCGUAGAUAUCGGGAGGAAUACCAGUGGCGAAGGCGCUGACCUGGACGAAGAUUGACGCUGAGGUGCGAAAGCGCGGGGAGCAGACAGG